rnacentral:sRNA from 1 species
CUUAUUUCUAGAUUUCAUGGCUUAAUGAAUUUUUUCAUUGUUAUAUAUACCAAAGAGGCUUACGGGCGUGAGCCACCACGCCCAGCCAAGAUGAACUCCUUAAGGGCAGGAUUUGGUAAGUGAUUGACUUCUUUUUAGUUCCGUGAUCUUGAGAUUAUUUUUAGCUUUAUAAAUUUAGCAGUGGCAGGGCCCGUGGAGAAUCAGGUUAAUGAGGUAAAGGCUUUCUGGGUAUUUGCUGCCAAGGCCACAUCACCAAUCUUCUCGAUUUAAAAAACUGUCAAGAGAUUUAUUUUUCCAUUGCAGGUUUUAAAGUGGAGAUUCUGAAGUG